rnacentral:rRNA from 1 species
GAUGAACGCUGGCGGCGUGCCUAAUACAUGCAAGUCGAGCGAAAAGACGAGGAGCUUGCGCCUUUACCGUUAGCGGCGGACGGGUGAGUAACAAGUAGGUCACCUUCCUCUAUUUCUGGGAUAACUUCGGGAAACCGCAGCCAAUAACGGCUCAUAUUUCCUACCGCAUGGUUCGAUAGUGAAUCAUGGCUUUGCUGUUUCUUUUAGAUGGUCCCGCGCCGGAUUAGCUAGUUGGUAAGGUAACGGCUUACCAAGGCGACGAUGCGUAGCUGACCUGAGAGGGUGAUCAGCCACACUGGAACUGAGACACGGUCCAGACUCCUACGGGAGGCAGCAGUGGGGAAUCUUCGACAAUGGGCGAAAGCCUGACGGAGCAACGCCGCGUGGGUGAAGAAGGUCUUCGGAUCGUAAAGCCCUUUUAUUAGGAAAGAACAGACGUAUGUGUAACUGUGCACGUCUUGACGGUACCUAAAGAGAAAGCAACGGCUAACUACGUG